rnacentral:rRNA from 1 species
AUUGAACGCUGGCGGCAGGCUUAACACAUGCAAGUCGAGCGGUAGCACAGGGGAGCUUGCUCCCUGGGUGACGAGCGGCGGACGGGUGAGUAAUGUCUGGGAAACUGCCUGAUGGAGGGGGAUAACUACUGGAAACGGUAGCUAAUACCGCAUAACGUCGCAAGCCCAAAGAGGGGGACCUUCGGGCCUCUUGCCAUCAGAUGUGCCCAGAUGGGAUUAGCUAGUAGGUGGGGUAAUGGCUCACCUAGGCGACGAUCCCUAGCUGGUCUGAGAGGAUGACCAGCCACACUGGAACGGAGACACGGUCCAGACGCCUAAGGGAGGCAGCAGUGGGGAAUAUUGCACAAUGGGCGCAAGCCUGAUGCAGCCAUGCCGCGUGUGUGAAGAAGGCCUUCGGGUUGUAAAGCACGUUCAGCGAGGAGGAAGGUGGUGAGCUUAAUACGUUCAUCAAUUGACGUUACUCGCAGAAGAAGCACCGGCUAACUCCGUG